CCAGGCUGAAGUGCAGUGGCACAAUUUCUGCUCACUGCAACCUCGAACUCCUGGGCUUAAGGAAUCCUCCCGCCUCACCAUCCCAAGUAGCGAGUACUACAGGCGCGCACCACCAUCCUCAGCUA